rnacentral:rRNA from 1 species
GCGAUUCUCCUCGGAGAAGAGCGGCGGACGGGUGAGUAACGCGUGGGUAACCUGCCCUGUACACACGGAUAACAUACCGAAAGGUAUGCUAAUACGAGAUAAUAUGCUUUUAUCGCAUGGUAGAAGUAUCAAAGCUCCGGCGGUACAGGAUGGACCCGCGUCUGAUUAGCUAGUUGGUAAGGUAACGGCUUACCAAGGCGACGAUCAGUAGCCGACCUGAGAGGGUGAUCGGCCACAUUGGAACUGAGACACGGUCCAAACUCCUACGGGAGGCAGCAGUGGGGAAUAUUGCACAAUGGGCGAAAGCCUGAUGCAGCAACGCCGCGUGAGCGAUGAAGGCCUUCGGGUCGUAAAGCUCUGUCCUCAAGGAAGAUAAUGACGGUACUUGAGGAGGAAGCCCCGGCUAACUACGUGCCAGCAGCCGCGGUAAUACGUAGGGGGCUAGCGUUAUCCGGAAUUACUGGGCGUAAAGGGUGCGUAGGUGGUUUCUUAAGUCAGAGGUGAAAGGCUACGGCUCAACCGUAGUAAGCCUUUGAAACUGGGAAACUUGAGUGCAGGAGAGGAGAGUGGAAUUCCUAGUGUAGCGGUGAAAUGCGUAGAUAUUAGGAGGAACACCAGUUGCGAAGGCGGCUCUCUGGACUGUAACUGACACUGAGGCACGAAAGCGUGGGGAGCAAACAGG